CCGCAGAGCACACACAUAUAUAUCUACCCCACACUGCAGACCUGUGCAGUCUAGCGACACAGCGUCACCCUUCACAUCUAAACUUGAACGAAAAAAAAAGACGAGCACGUUAGCCUCACUACCUUCACUUACUUGCCACCGCCCUCUUAUACAUUCUUUUCUGCUGCUGCUGUUUGGUGGCGCGCCAUAUUGUCAUCUCAAGCGCACUUCCUGGGCUCUCUCUCGCGCGCGCUCCCGAGCACACACCCCCAACUCGUGUGUCGCCCCCUCCCUCCUAGCGAGUCAUUCGAGGCGAGCCUACAUAUAAUCCUCCUUUGUCUCCCCACUCCUCCUCACCCCACCCCCUACAGCCUGCAGUGCUCCUCUUCUUUAGGGCCUUUUUCGCUACUGUGUCUGCGUCUGGCUUUCCGUUUUAGUUCCCAUCGUUUUUGUUCUUUGUUGUUGCUCCUCCCUGUCUCUGUGUGUGCCCUGUGCACUGCACUCCACAGGGCUCUCUUUUCCUGUCUCCUCAGUGUGUCCUGCCGAGGCGGACUUGCUCGAGAAACAUCAGCGGGCACUCGCCCAUCGGCUGCAGCUCUACCCACUUCCUCACUACACGCACUUACAAGUGCACCAAGCUUCAGAGAAAUGAUCCAGAGUGCGCGGUCCGUCGGCGACUCCAGCUGGGACAGCCAUCGGCAGACGAACCGCAUGGACAGCAUCGUCAACAGGGACAUAGACAUUCGUGGCAGUUUGACGGCGAAGCAGGACGAUACGGUUAACAUCAGUGACGCGAACGGCGCAGCCAACAUGUACGAAAGCAGCUACUUGAACGAAUUUGAGUACACCCCGACCCCCUUCAACCCCCGUCGCGUCAGCCGCUGCCGCAUUGAGAACUUUGUGGCUCUGGCCACGCUGAUUUUGAUGCUUGUAUUAUCGGCCUUAGCCCUCAUCACCCCGCUGUUCUACUACAGAUCUUCCACCGCCACCGUCCGCGUUGACAGCGUGAACGUCUGGGGCACCGGGGUGGAGGGCGUAAGGCAGCGCUACAAUGUCCACACAAUCUUCUGCGACAACUAUGCCGCCAAGUCGGAUGGGUACCUGGCUUUGUACAUCCUGCUUUUCCUCAUCGCCUGCGUCGGCCUGUUCUUGUCGUUGUUCCCCAUCAUCUGCGGCCGCGUGUUGAUCUGCACCUACCUUGUCCACACGCUGUUGUUUUUGUGUUGGUUCUUUGUCAUGGUGGCCAUGAUUUUGGGAGUGCAGAUGUACCGCGAGAAUUUAUGCCACAGCACAUCGCUAAAGAACAUCGGCUUCCGCUACGGCCCUGCGUUCGGCGUGACGGCCGCCCUUUUCUCUCUCCUCUCCAUCACGAUGAUCUUCUUAGCCCUACGCGCCAUCAGGAAUCCGUUUUAGUACCCGCACUAGAUGGGCGAGAAGGACCCGAAUGCGGAAGGAAAGGAUGACGCAGGAAGUGGGAAGGCUAGGGGAGACAGGUCAUACUAUGCCUUCACGUCUACUCACUCCUCAGACUCGCGCGCGCACACACACACACGCUUGAGGGCAGCGGCUGUGUAUAGGCGCAACUCUACGCUGUCCCUCCGAUGUGCAGACGGGCUAUGAUCGCGACGCUGUCGGCGACGCCAUGCUGCGCCAGAGCCACAAAACGUCUCUUGUUAUGCUUGCUUUUUUUUGCUUUUUUUUUUGCUUUCCUCCUUCUCCUUGCUUCGUUUCGGUGUCUCACCUGUGCGUCUUUCUUUUGAG
rnacentral:misc_RNA from 1 species